UGGUUUCUUAGCCUUGGAAGAAUCUUCAUCCUUUCUCAACCAAAAAUUGCUGCAAAUUACAAAAUUUCCUAUGAUUUGAGCAAUGACCAAGCAUAUUAGUGCUGCAAUUCCAAAGCUGAAAGCUUUACUUUCAGGCAAAUAACAGAGUUUAUUAUCCAACUUCAUAUCCUCCUCCUACAAAAACACCCAACCACAACAACCCACUUACAAAAUUUGCAUAUACCAAUUGAACAACAAGAAUUGCAGCAGAGAGUUUAAUGAGAGAGUACCUUAGCUUUCUGGGACUCUGCAAUGAUACAAGAAAUGAAAGACAUAAGGCCAAGAGAAACUACAAAGAAGAUGAUUAGCAAGAACCCAUAUUGAUGCUUUUCCAUUGUUGAGGAAGAAGAAGAAACAGAAGAA
rnacentral:misc_RNA from 1 species